rnacentral:rRNA from 1 species
GAGUCGGACCUGCCCAGUGAAUAAUUUUUUAACGGCCGCGGUACUCUGACCGUGCAAAGGUAGCAUAAUCAUUUGCCCUAUAAUUGAGGGCUAGUAUGAAUGGUUUGACGUGAACAAAGCUGUCUCUAUAUAAUUUUUUAGAACUUGAUCUUUAGGUGAAGAAACCUAAAUAUCAUUGAUAGACAAGAAGACCCUAUUGAGCUUUAAAGAAACGAGUUGAGAAUAUGUAUAUAGCUUUAAAUGCUAAUCUGUUCGAGAUUUUGGUUGGGGCGACUAUGGAACAAACAAAGCUUCUUUAAUACAAUAAAGGCUUACAGGCUUUAGAUCCAGAAAUUUUGAUCAAUGGAAUUAGUUACCAUAGGGAUAACAGCAUAAUUUUUUUUGAGAGUUCUUAUCGAAAAGAAAGUUUGUGACCUCGAUGUUGGACUAGAAUAUCCUGAAGAUGCAGCAGUCUUUAAGGGUUGGUC